UACGGGGGGGGCAAGCGUUGUUCGGAAUUACUGGGCGUAAAGGGCUCGUAGGCGGCCAACUAAGUCAUACGUGAAAUCCCUCGGCUUAACCGGGGAACUGCGUCUGAUACUGGAUGGCUUGAGAUUGGGAGAGGGAUGCGGAAUUCCAGGUGUAGCGGUGAAAUUCGUAGAUAUCGGGAGGAACACCAGAGGCGAAGGCGGCGACCUGGAAGGCAACUGACACUGAGCAGCGAAAGCGUGGGGAGCAAACAGG
rnacentral:rRNA from 1 species